AGUCACUGACAUUAGAUACCCCUGUAGUCCAGGGUGUAAACGCUGCAGACUUGGUGUUGGAAGCCCUUUGGGGCAUUCAGUGCCGGAGAGAAGUUGUUAAGUCUGCUACUUGGGGAGUACGUCCGCAAGGAUGAAACUUAAAGGAAUUGGCGGGGAGCACCGCAACGGGAGGAGCGUGCGGUUUAAUUGGAUUCAACACCGUAAACUCACCAGGGAAGACUGUUACAUGAAGGCCGAGAUGAAGACUCUGCUAGAUUUUCAG
rnacentral:rRNA from 1 species